ACCCUGUAGAAGCGUGUUUAUCUGCACAUUUCAAAAUAAGCUCGUCUCUACAGGCAGG
rnacentral:pre_miRNA from 1 species